GCAGCUGUGGCUUACGUGAGCGGUGGAAUGCUAAGGGCAAAAAAGGGAGACAGGAUGCAAUUUUCUUUGAAUUCAAAUGAAGCAACUUUGCAGCUUUGAUGAAUGGAAUCUUUUUUUGAGAUGCUGGGGGCCCCGCCUAUUGGCUACAGAGACAGGAAGACACCCGUGCUUCUUCUUUCAGGCAAGGCCACCAAACUACAAGCCAAUCAGGUACCCAAGAAUUGCCCAUGGCCAGAUAACAGGACAAGAGCAGAAAGUAGUUGUUGAAGAGUUCAGAAGAAGAGCGUUAUUGGACUCGAAAUGUUAACUCUGCUUCUCUCCCCGCAGCUCCUACUGAAUUUUCUGAGCUUAUUCAGCACUUUCUGUUUUCAUUUUAGAAUUUGAGCAUCCACUUUUGUGCAAGUGUUAAGGAUAUGGUUAAGUGUAGUGAUGAUCUGGAGGCUAUGAGGAAGGUUUACCCUUCCACCUCAUAAAUACACGUUCAGCUCCAAAAUGGCGCUGCAGCAGUGUCAUGUAACGAUUACCAGCAUGAUCAGUCUACCCUCCAUACUUGUGUGAGUAUUCUUUAAACACAUGUCAAUGCUUCAAACAAAAACACAUCCGGCCUCUCUGGGACCAGAUAAGUGCACACACACCUCUGAUGCUGUUUUGGAGCCAAAACAGCACUUGAAGAACAUCAAACAAGAGAUAUUAGGAGCCAGAUUUUGUGGUUACCAAUUCAGAUGAAAGUACAUGCAGCACUGAUGCCUCACAGCACCAGAGCCGUAGAUCCGAGUCCAGCUUUGGGUGAUUUUGUGGAGUUUGCAUGUUCUCCCUGUAUCUACAUGGAUUUCCGCCGGGUGCUCCGGUUUCCU